rnacentral:rRNA from 1 species
UACGUAGGGUGCAAGCGUUGUCCGGAAUUAUUGGGCGUAAAGAGCUCGUAGGCGGUCUGUCACGCCUGCUGUGAAAAACUCGGGGCUUAACCCCGGGCCUGCAGUGGGUACGGGCAGACUAGAGUGCGGUAGGGGAGACUGGAAUUCCUGGUGUAGCGGUGAAAUGCGCAGAUAUCAGGAGGAACACCGGUGGCGAAGGCGGGUCUCUGGGCCGUAACUGACGCUGAGGAGCGAAAGCGUGGGGAGCGAACAGG